rnacentral:rRNA from 1 species
CCUGGCUCAGAUUGAACGCUGGCGGCAUGCCUUACACAUGCAAGUCGAACGGCAGCGGACCUUCGGGUGCCGGCGAGUGGCGAACGGGUGAGUAAUAUAUCGGGACGUACCUUUCAGUGGGGGAUAACGUAGCGAAAGUUACGCUAAUACCGCAUAUUCUGUGAGCAGGAAAGCAGGGGAUCGCAAGACCUUGCGCUGAUUGAGCGGCCGAUAUCAGAUUAGCUAGUUGGUGAGGUAAAGGCUCACCAAGGCGACGAUCUGUAGCGGGUCUGAGAGGAUGAUCCGCCACACUGGAACUGAGACACGGUCCAGACUCCUACGGGAGGCAGCAGUGGGGAAUUUUGGACAAUGGGCGCAAGCCUGAUCCAGCCAUGCCGCGUGAGUGAAGAAGGCCUUCGGGUUGUAAAGCUCUUUCGGCCGGGAAGAAAUCGCACAGGUUAAUACCCUGUGUGGAUGACGGUACCGGAAUAAGAAGCACCGGCUAACUACGUG